CUCCAAGCUGAAGCAUUCAGUAUGUCUUAAUGGAAAGCUCGGAAUGCUAUGGUGUAGCGUUCACUCUGCUAUUGCUUCACAGAGUUGGCAUGAAGAGGCACAAGAGAAGCCCGUCUUAUAGGUGUUCAGCUCUUACAUUUUAGUUUUACAUACGUGCAAAGUUUUAUCACCCGCAUGUCCUCUCGGCAUCAAUGUUUUAUUGGAAAAAUAAGGUUGGAAUCGA
rnacentral:misc_RNA from 1 species